rnacentral:misc_RNA from 1 species
AACGCACAUUGCGCCCGCUAGCACUCUGGCGGGCAUGCCUGUUCGAGCGUCAUUUCAACCAUCAAGCCCCAGGCUUGUGUUAGAGCCCUGCGGCUGCCGCAGGCUCCUAAAAGCAGUGGCGGGCUCGCUAUUACACCGAGUGCAAUAGAUUUCUCUUCGCUCAGGGCGUGUGGCGGGUUCCAGCCGUGAAACCCCUACUUUUUAAGGUUGACCUCGGAUCAGGUAGGAAUACCCGCUGAACUUAA